rnacentral:rRNA from 1 species
GGGCCGGGCUUCUACUCCACACCAUCGCGAACCCACCUCAACCGUUGCUUCGGCGGGCCGGCACCGGGCGUCUCCUUCCCGAGACCCCCGGGGCCCCCGGCCGCCCCCGCCCCCCCACGGGGCGCGGGGGAGGCGGCCCGCCGGAGGUACCCAACUCUUGAACAACGUACGGCCUCUCUGAGUCUUCUGUACUGAAUAAGUCAAAACUUUCAACAACGGAUCUCUUGGUUCUGGCAUCGAUGAAGAACGCAGCGAAAUGCGAUAAGUAAUGUGAAUUGCAGAAUUCAGUGAAUCAUCGAAUCUUUGAACGCACAUUGCGCCCGCCAGUAUUCUGGCGGGCAUGCCUGUUCGAGCGUCAUUUCAACCAUCAAGCCCCCGGGCUUGUGUUGGGGACCCUGCGGCUGCCCGCAGGCCCUGAAAUGCAGUGGCGGGCUCGCUGUCCACACCGAGCGUAGUAGCAUUACACCUCGCUCAGGGCGUGCGGCGGGCUCCGGCCGUUAAACGCGACCUUAACGCAUACCAAGGUUGACCUCGGAUCAGGUAGGAAGACCCGCUGAACUUAAGCAUAUCAAAA